CCCCCCCCCCCCAUACUAUCCAUAAAAGAACAUAAACUGUGAAUGUUUUUUUUACUUUAGUCUUGACUUUCUCUUGAGGAGCGAAGAUUUACAUUUACUGUGUGAAAAUAAAGAAGAUUUGAUAUUAGUAUCUCUCAGAAGCCUCGUCAAUUCUGCAGACGUCUGCAAGUGCUUUAAAAAAAAACACUGUCAAACUCUCGCGUUAAAAAAGUUUAAUAAAGAAUAGUUUAACGUACACCUCCCAAUCUGAUUGCCGGAAGUUCAAUUGU